GAUGAACGCUGACAGAAUGCUUAACACAUGCAAGUCUUUGGCGAAUCUGUGCUUGCACAGGCUAGCCAAGGCGGACGGGUGAGUAACGCGUAAAGAACUUGCCCUGCAGACAGGGAUAACAGACGGAAACGACUGAUAACACCUGAUACAGUUGCCGGCACGCAUGUGCCUGGCAAUGAAAAGAGAUGCUGCAGGAGAGCUUUGCGUCCUCUUAGCUUGUUGGUGAGGUGACGGCUCACCAAGGCGAUGAUAGGUAGCCGGCCUGAGAGGGUGAACGGCCACAAGGGGACUGAGAGACGGCCCUUACACCUACGGGAGGCAGCAGGGGGGAAUAUUGGACAAUGGGGGCAACCCUGAUCCAGCAAUUCUGUGUGCACGAAGAAGGUUUUCGGAUGGUAAAGAGCUUUCAGCAGGGAAGAAGAAAGUGACGGUACCUGCAGAAGAAGCGACGGCUAAAUACGUG
rnacentral:rRNA from 1 species